UUGACCUCAAAUCAGGUAGGACUACCCGCUGAACUUAAGCAUAUCAAUAAGCGGAGGAAAAGAAACUAACAAGGAUUCCCCUAGUAACUGCGAGUGAAGAGGGAAAAGCUCAAAUUUAAAAUCUGGCAGCUUCGCU
rnacentral:rRNA from 1 species